CCUACGGGGGACAGCAGUGAGGAAUAUUGGUCAAUGGACGAGAGUCUGAACCAGCCAAGUAGCGUGAAGGAUGACGGCCCGAUGGGUGGUAAACUUCUGUUAUAAAGGAAUAAAACGAGGCACGUGUGCCUUUUUGCAUGUACCUUAUGAAUAAGGAUCGGCUAACUCCGUGCCAGCAGCCGCGGUAAUACGGAGGAUCCGAGCGUUAUCCGGAUUUAUUGGGUUUAAAGGGAGCGUAGAUGGGUUGUUAAGGCCGUUGUGAAAGUUUGCGGCUCAACCGUAAAAUUGCAAUUGAUACUGGCAGUCUUGAGUACAGUUGAGGUAGGCGGAAUGCGUGGUGUAGCGGUGAAAUGCUUAGAUAUCACGAAGAACCCCGAUUGCGAAGGCAGCUUACUAGACUGUGACUGACAUUGAUGCUCGAAAGUGUGGGUAUCAAACAGGAUUAGAUACCCUUGUAGUC
rnacentral:rRNA from 1 species